ensembl:snoRNA Gm25569 predicted gene, 25569
CACCCUGGCAAUGGGCAAAGAGACACCUUGUUGAUGGCAUUGAUCUUAUAUCCAGCAGGGGCAGAGCAGUGUUCGUCCUAGCCUGAUGUCUGGCUUGGUGGCCAAAACUGCUUUAUGUCUAGGACACAUAA